GAAAUGCGAUAAGUAAUGUGAAUUGCAGAAUUCAGUGAAUCAUCGAAUCUUUGAACGCACCUUGCGCUCCUUGGUAUUCCGAAGAGCAUGCCUGUUUGAGUGUCAUGGAAUUCUCAACUCUAUUUGCUUUUGUGAAUAGAGCUUGGAUUUGGAGGUUUAUUGCUGGUACUUGUGAUCGGCUCCUCUUGAAUGCAUUAGCUCGAACCUUUGCGGAUCAGCUAUCGGUGUGAUAAUUGUCUACGCCGUUGCAGUGAAGCAUAUCAAUGGGCUCGGCUUCCAAUCGUCCUUUACUGGACAAUGACUUUGACCUUUGACCUCAAAUCAGGUAGGAUUACCCGCUGAACUUAAGC
rnacentral:misc_RNA from 1 species